rnacentral:sRNA from 1 species
GCAGGCAACGACCCGAAGGGCGAAGCGCGCUGCGCUGAGUCAUCCUUCCCCCACCACCA